CCUGGGGCUGUCAAGCCUGGAGCGGUGAAGACUGAGAGGAAAUCUUUCCAAUGCUUAUAAGUAUCUACAAGAUGGCCUGGCCUAGAUCAACUAUUUUCAUUUCUGGGAAACUGCCCCUUUCCAAACAGCAUCUCAAGCCAUGUGCAACCAGUUAGAAGCUUCUGUCUGGCCUCUUCACAUACUGAAGGCACUCAAAUCUCAGAGGAUGAUCACAGACUCACAGGUCACGCUCUUGUCUACAUUUUUAGCAGUUUAUAAUAAAAAAUAUCUUCCUGUUCUAUUCUUUCCCUCUUCUAGCAGGAAGCUGUCAGUAAUAUGUAAUAUAGUUUGGUUUUGGGAUCUGCCAUUUUUUGACCAAAGAGCGAAUAAAAGAAUAUGAGUGGUGAGGAUGAGAGGAAUCUCACCACAGCUAAAUGAAAUAAUACGCUUCACAUGCAGAAAUCCAUUCAUGAUGGCUUUAAUUCUUG